rnacentral:snRNA from 1 species
GUGCUCACUUCGGCAGCACAUAUACUAAAAUUGGAACAAUACAGAGAAGGUUAGCAUGGUCCCUGCGCAAGGAUGACACGCAAAUUUGUGAAGCGUUCCAUAUUUUU